GANUGCGAUGGGCGAGAGCCUGACGCAGCGACNCCGCGUGGGGGAUGAAGCUUCUCGGAGUGUNAACCCCUUUCGACCGGGACGAAUGCCCGCAAGGGAGUGACGGUACCGGUAGAAGAAGCCCCGGCUAACUACGUGCCAGCAGCCGCGGUAAGACGUAGGGGGCCAGCGUUGUUCGGAAUUACUGGGUGUAAAGGGUUCGUAGGCGGUGUGGCAAGUCGGGAGUGAAAUUUCUGGGCUUAACUCAGAACCUGCUUCCGAAACUGCUGUGCUCGAGUGUGGGAGAGGCGCGUGGAAUUGCAGGUGUAGCGGUGAAAUGCGUAGAUAUCUGCAGGAACACCCGUGGCGAAAGCGGCGCGCUGGACCACUACUGACGCUGAGGAACGAAAGCUAGGGGAGCAAACAGGAUUAGAUACCCUGGUAGUCCUAGCCCUAAACGAUCAGGACUUGGGGUGCCACCCGUUCGGGUGUCGUCCCGGAGCUAACGCGUUAAGUCCUGCACCUGGGGAGUACGGUCGCAAGACUGAAACUCAAAGAAAUUGACGGA
rnacentral:rRNA from 1 species